GAUAAUAAACAAGAUAAUUUUGCACACUCACAGAAAUUCUGAAUAAUUUUAAACAAUUAUUCAGGUUACUAUUUUACUUUCGUAAAUUAAUUGUGAGUGUGUCUUUACUAAUUAUUCAGAAAUUUAUCAGCAAUUUUACAACAUUUGACAAUAUUUUUAUAGUUUAUCAGCAGUAGAACAAUUUCAAAUAAUUGUUCAUUUAAUUCAGAAAAAAAUCAAGAAAAUUAGAUAAAAGGCAAUUUACGUAUCUCUAUCCGAGGAAUUUGAGUGAUCGAAAGAGUUUACAAUUUUACCCCUCCAGCUUUGACUUAUGAUAUAUGUGCAUAUUUGUGCCAAUUUUGGCAAAAUUGUUUUAAAAUUGUGAUUUUAGUUUAAUUAUUGUUAUUCUUUCAUAUAUGACCACCUCAUAAUUAACCAACUCAUGGUUCAAUAUAGAUGGGGUCAAUUUUGCAAAAUCUGAAUUCUAAAUGGCCUUAAUUGAAAUUUCCAGGCCGUGGGCAAAUUAAUUAAGGACGACAAUACAAAUUAGUCUUAAUUGGUUAAAUUAAAUACCAAAAUAAGCCUACAUUUGCAAAUGCUUAAUUGCAAGGGUAUUUAUGUAAUUAAUUACAAAGGUUGGCCAUAAUUGCAACCUUCAUUCUGUUAAGGGUCGAUUCAAGGCUAUUUCUGCAAAAUGUUUUUUUUUUAAACCGCUUGUUUAUUUAAUUACUCAUUUGUUUGACCUUGUUUUAAUUAUUUCUUGUUACAACUAUUUACUUUAAAUAAUGACCUAUUUUACUGAAUUACUUAUUUUUCCCCUACGAGUAUAUAUGCACUCGAUAUACGCACGUAUACAUGCGUGAUAUACAAAAAGGUUUCAGAUUUAAAAAAAUUAUAGGGCCAGGUCGAACCCACAAAGGGCUGACCCGGCCCAUGAGACAAUAUAAUACUCCCUCGGUAUAAUGCCCAAACCGGGGGUUCAUUUGUUAUUAUUUAUAAGGGGGCUAGGGUGAAACCCUGGCCGCUCUCUCACCCUUCUUACCCCUUUUCCCCCCUUUUUGCAUAGGGUCAAAUUGCCGACCACUAUUCACCACCACUGUGACGUCGUUGGGGUGGUUGAGAAGAGGACGAAGCAUUAAAAGCUUCGUCCUUUUUUCUCAUAUUUUUCUCGAAAAUCAUCCAAACAGCCCCUAAGGUACAAUCCUUUAUUUUCUCUUUAUAUUUUAGUUUUCUUGCAAUUUUUAGACAUUGUUUUAGCCAUUGAUUGGAAAUUUUGGUAAAUCUGAACCUUUCAUUAUGAAUCUGAGACUUAGUACUUGGAACAUGUGGUUUUCCCACAUCAAACAUGUAGUGUUUUGUUGGUGUUUUGGGGGUUCUAUAAAUAGAACCCCAUACUGCCAAAGAAAAAGAAGAGAGAAGUUUUUGGCCGCUUGACAAAUCAGUAGAAACAUAAAGCUUUUAACUUGAUAUAAUUUUGAGUUUUAAGCAAAGUUCUUUAGUUGAAAAUUUGUUUAUUUUCUGUUUCGGUAAGUGAAAACUAGUUGUUUUAUUUUUGAGAGUGUUGGCUGAAGUUUGGGAAAGGGAGAAGGCUCUCAAUUUCAUUCUUGGUGCUAGGCUGUGCUAAAAAAAGUACGUGGCUGCUCGGGUCUGACUCCAAACCCCCCACCCCCCCCCCCAUUGGGCCUAAGGCCCAAAUGGGAAAAUUAUUUCGAAUAGAGUCCGAAAGACGAAGAAAAUAGCGAGGCGCGCAGAAGGCCCAACCAUGGGUGAAAAUGGCCAAUUAGGGGCUUGGUACGCCCCUAGUCUAACUUAGUCUCCAUUACUUAUUUAUUGUUUCAAUUUGUUGUAUUUGUGAAAAACUUGUAUUAAAACUCAUAUUAGAGUGAAAAUAUUUUA